AUUGUGCUUGCACAGAUGACGACCGGCGCACGGGUGCGUAACGCGUAUAGAACCUACCUUUUACAGAGGAAUAGCCUUUAGAAAUGAAGAUUAAUGCCUCAUAGUAUUGUAGACUGGCAUCAGUUUAUAAUUAAAGAUUUAUCGGUAAAAGAUGGCUAUGCGUCCUAUUAGUUAGUUGGUAAGGUAACGGCUUACCAAGACAGCGAUAGGUAGGGGUCCUGAGAGGGAGAUCCCCCACACUGGUACUGAGACACGGACCAGACUCCUACGGGAGGCAGCAGUGAGGAAUAUUGGACAAUGGAGGAGACUCUGAUCCAGCCAUGCCGCGUGUAGGAAGAAUGCCCUAUGGGUUGUAAACUACUUUUAUACAGGAAGAAACACUGGUAUGUAUACCAGCUUGACGGUACUGUAAGAAUAAGGACCGGCUAACUCCGUGCCAGCAGCCGCGGUAAUACGGAGGGUCCGAGCGUUAUCCGGAAUCAUUGGGUUUAAAGGGUCCGCAGGCGGUCGAUUAAGUCAGAGGUGAAAUCCCAUAGCUCAACUAUGGAACUGCCUUUGAUACUGGUUGACUUGAGUCAUAU
rnacentral:rRNA from 1 species